AUUGAACGCUGGCGGCAGGCCUAACACAUGCAAGUCGAGCGGCAGCGACUUAACUGAACCUUCGGGGAACGUUAAGGGCGGCGAGCGGCGGACGGGUGAGUAAUGCCUGGGAAUAUGCCCUGAUGUGGGGGAUAACUAUUGGAAACGAUAGCUAAUACCGCAUAAUCUCUUCGGAGCAAAGAGGGGGACCUUCGGGCCUCUCGCGUCAGGAUUAGCCCAGGUGGGAUUAGCUUGUUGGUGAGGUAAUGGCUCACCAAGGCAACGAUCCCUAGCUGGUCUGAGAGGAUGAUCAGCCACACUGGAACUGAGACACGGUCCAGACUCCUACGGGAGGCAGCAGUGGGGAAUAUUGCACAAUGGGGGAAACCCUGAUGCAGCCAUGCCGCGUGUGUGAAGAAGGCCUUCGGGUUGUAAAGCACUUUCAGUAGGGAGGAAGGUAGUGCAGUUAACACCUGCAUUAUUUGACGUUACCUACAGAAGAAGCACCGGCUAACUCCGUGCCAGCAGCCGCGGUAAUACGGAGGGUGCGAGCGUUAAUCGGAAUUACUGGGCGUAAAGCGCAUGCAGGCGGCCUGUUAAGUCAGAUGUGAAAGCCCGGGGCUUAACCUCGGAAUUGCAUUUGAAACUGGCAGGCUAGAGUCUUGUAGAGGGGGGUAGAAUUUCAGGUGUAGCGGUGAAAUGCGUAGAGAUCUGAAGGAAUACCAGUGGCGAAGGCGGCCCCCUGGACAAAGACUGACGCUCAGAUGCGAAAGCGUGGGGAGCAAACAGG
rnacentral:rRNA from 1 species